CUCAAAUCAAAUCUGUUGGCACACUCCGUGCGCGUCGAUGGUCCACGAUGUCCCAAUCGCUUCGACAAAAGAAGAAACAAAACGAAACAGUGGCAGAGAAGAAGAAAAAACAAAGUGUCAACCGCGCAGGACGAGAGAGAAAACAUCAGCAGGCUCGGUGCUGAGCGCGCUGCGUGGAGUCACGUGACGCAGAUUUCAGGACCCCAGACGUUUCAGCAAGAUGCCGCAUGAAUUGGGCUGCGAGCAUGUGACGGAACGUUGGGUGCACGAGACCAGACGAGAGAAAAUCACCAAGAGCCAAGAGGGAAGAACACACACACUUCUAUGAGAAAUCAGCCAUGGGAGGCUGCUGAGUCAAUGGAUUUUCACUUUCUCUCGUGUGUUUUUUCUUUAAAACUUGAUGCGUCUGCAGACAGAGCAGAACACAAAAGACAAGACACACACACACACACACACACACAUGAAGGAUCAUAUACCAUCAACUUCAUUAACACACACACACACAACAUGAAGGAUCAUAUACCAUCAACUUCAUUAACACACACACACACACAACAUGAAGGAUCAUAUACCAUCAACUUCAUUAAGUGUUCAUCCAAAUGUUAAAUUGUUAUGAUGAUCCAGUCUCUGAUGUAAGGUGCUGCAUGUGACAUGCAGAGGCUCAAACCUUCAACAUGUUGUCUGACAUCGGAUGCAGUUCUUUAGCAGAGAGAGACAACUACAGUAAAUCAGAGUGCAGUCAGUGGCAGGAAGCCGAUAGAAGAAGAUGAACUCCUGUCCCAUAUUGGCUCGAGGUUUACUGCAGACCUGCAUGGGAGGAUGCAGUUAAACAGCUAAACAGUUCAAUUUACUAAGUGGUGAUUGAGUUAGAAGUUUGCAAUUCCAGUUGAAAUGACACACCAACAAACUAGAGUGGACCACAGGCAGUGCAGAGCGGUUGCCAACGGGGAUCCAAAUAGAUAGAUCCAAAUCAAAAACUCAUUUGGAUUUGAUCCCCUUAUUUUUCAUCUAGUUCCUCUCACAAUUUCCCAAACACACAGUCAACAUUGGGCUCUGAGCUCUGGCUUCAAUACUUAAGAGUUAGACAGAAGUUGCACUAUAGGUACAGUUAAGUUUAAAAAGGUUAAUUACAAUGGAUUAAUAAACACAUGAAUAAAUAAAGGUUGAAAUUGCAGCGUGAGCCUGUUUGAGCAGCACCAUGAAGCUGACAGACUUGUGUGUGUCUCAGAGGAUACAGGGCCGACUAUAAAACACGCUUGAGCACAUAGCCAAUAUGCCUCUUUGAGCACCCAAUUUGUUUAAAAGGCACAGGCUCUAAUCUGCUGCAGUCAGUCCUGCGGCUACUUCUGAGAAAGGAGAUUUAUUUAUUACCCCAUCUAAAUUGUUAUCUGCGCUCUCUCUCUCUCUCUCUCUCUCUCUCUGAUCUAUUCGGCCACAAAUCUAUGCAGGCUUCCCAGGCCUUUCCUCGACAAGCCACCCCCUUUCUUUUCAAUUAGUCAGUCACUAGUAAAAUAUUGAUAGUAAAAAAAUAAAUAAUCAGGUGAUCAGUGAAGCUGAUGUGGAUAAAUGAGAGUCAACAUCUGUUUUGUAAUAAAGCGAGCCAAAUGCUGGCUGCAUCCAAGCUAUUAAAACAAACUCAUUUUGAACAGAUUUGCAUAGACGCACAUGUGAGGAGCUGAUAACACCGUGGGUAUUGUGGCUGUGCGCUGUGUGAGCGAUGGUGCAACACAACAGGGAGGUUUUGCCUAAUGUGGGGAUUUUCUGUGCAUCCUGCUCGGCGCAUCACUGAAUCUCGAGAGAGCAGCGGAUAUAAAAUGUGCAGAUGCUUCAACGAAGUUGUGUGUUUGAAGUGAUCAGAAUCAGCCGACUCUGGGUCUCUUCUGGAGAAAACAUCUCACUGAAGAGGAAGAGUCUGUUGUUUAUGAGUUUCUACACUGACUGUGUAUUUCUGUUCAUCUGUGCUGUUCACUUCUCCAACAUCCCCCCCCUACCAAAGAUAACCGAUCACUAUACACCAUAUUUGAUCUGUUCACAGUGAUCGGUUAUCUUUGGUGUAUAUAUGUAUAUAUAUAUACAUAUAUGUAUAUAUAUGUUCCUAAUGAUUUUAAACACUUUCAGUUUUCUUGUUGAUUUUAUUAUUGUUGUUGUCCUUUUUUAAUUCUGCCUUGUAAGUUGGCCUUGAGUGUUUUGAGAGGCGCUUAUAAAAUAAUAAUAAAAUUUUACAAUCAGCAAAUCCUCACAUUUAAGAUGAAACUAUCUGUCACAUAGUGCUUGAUAAACGACUUAUAAAGUUAAUUGAUUCUGAAGACUUUUGCCAAUUAAUUCACAGAAUGUGAAAGUUAUGUGUUGUCCAUUCCAUUUUUGUUUUUUGUAUCUUUAUGAAAGAAAGUAAAGUAAAAAAUUAAAAAAUC